AAGGAAGGCGCGAGAGUCCUCCCAACGAACGAAGCAAGCGGCGCGGCAGAGAGACUACAUUCUUGAGAACAUUGCAAUUGGUGAUCGCCCGACGUUCUUGGAAAGAUCCGGACCGAGACUGACGGCCGCGAGGCCGUUCGGAAAGCAGUACAAGCUACUUACAGGCGCCACAACAAAGAUCACAGACCAGAAGCCGUCCGAUCCAGAGGAUCCUUCACCAACGUCGGUGACACCUGGCGAGUGGAUCUGGGUGAAAAAACACCAUCGAAAGACCUAGAAGACCGGUGGAAGGGGCCAUACAAGGUACUCUUGGCCACACCCUUUUCUGUUUCUGUAGAGGACCGACGUGGGGCCCAGUGGCACCACCUGAGCCGGUGCCGCAAAGCAGAUACUCCUGGCAGAUCGUGGACUGAGACCCUGACCGACCUAGCUGCACUCCAAGCCAAGGACAAACACUCCUCAUCCCAAGACGAUGGGCCACAGCGUGCCCUUGGGAAAGUACCUGGUAGGAUUCCUUCUGGUAGUCCUGUUCCAAGAAGGAGCGGGAGACAACAUCGCCAGGUACCCACCGCCUAAACCAACAACAACAGGUCAGGUCUCGUUAAGGUACUGUCGAGGGAUAGAAAGUAUCUUUGAGCUGAAUUUUUGUGACAUGCUGCCCUGUGGGACCAGGAUGGACCGGGUCUACCAGGCAGAAAAGUACAUGUGCGUAAGUACCAGACGAGACGGUAGCUACAUCAGAGGUUAUUCCUGCGUGGAGUGGUCUCCGGCAUCGUGGCUUACCCAUCCUGGGUACAAGGAGAGCUAUUAUCCCCUGUGGUCCAGCUACAAGGAAAUCCAAAAGGGAAUCUCCCUUACCAGAAGAUUAUAUGGCUAUAAGGAAGUCUGGAGCAAUAAUGGUCUAGCAGUCAAGGAAGAGUCAAUAUUCAUAAAGUUAAGGGCAGAUUUACUCAUUCCCGAAAACAGAUCUCAUAAGACAGACAAAGGCCUGGUUUUUCUAAUAUUAAGGGCGGAUACUUAUGGAGAGGA